rnacentral:lncRNA from 1 species
CUCGAAUAGAAAAAUGAAUUGCCAAGUCUCCCAAACACAUCUCACCCUUUUCAACACUGAAAUCCCAAACUCGAACCCUAAUCUCUCUAAAACACUUGACCAAUUAUAGCUUCGAAGGUGAACUUUUGUAAAUGCCAUGAACCCACCCUAACUCAAAAUCGAACCUCCAUUACUAUCGAAGGCCACACCCUAACCAUGAAUCUUGGGGAUUUCAAAAAGUGCACAAAGAGGGACCACAUCGAGGUAAAUCCUAUCAUAUUUUUUCUUUUGGUUUCUUCUUUUCAUCUUUACCGCACAUGCUAUGUUUGUAUGAAAAUAAGCACUUGAUAGCAUGAAUCUUGGUUUUUUUUUUUUUUUUUGUUUCAUCUUUUUUCCUCUUUGCUGCACGGAUAUUGUGGUUUAUCUUAAUGUUUAAAAAAAUUCGUUAUAUCGUUCUCAUUGUUGACUUUCUUGUCCAUCAUUUUCCAUUUCAUACGCACUUGAUUACAACAUUGUUUCUUUCGUUGUUGUAGUUGUCUGAUAGAUAAUUUUCUUGCUUUUGCUACUUUUUAUAUUGUGCAUAUUAUUCUUUUAGUAAAUCAGUUAGAAUAGAAAGUACAUAUAAAACUGUUGUUGAUCAUUUUCAAUUUCUUAUUUCAUAAUGGAUACGGAGGAUGACACUGACUUCAAUGAUUUUGACAAAGACAUAUCGCCUGGUACAAACAAUAUGCAAUUUGAAAAAAAUGUGAGGAGGGAAUUGAGUUAGGUUGUGAUAGAGGCAAUCGAACAAGAAGAAGAGGAUAAUGCGGUAGUGAUACACAACAAAUACUAGGAGGCCGAUGAUUUGGAAUAUUUAUAAUCUGAAGAACUAUUGUCUGAUAUGUCACAUGACGAUGAGGUUGGAUGUCGAUUUUCAAAGUUUAUGGCUAAAAUAGAUAUGCGCGAUCCAAAGUUUCAAACAAGUCAGUUGUUCAGUCUGUACAAGAAUUUAGGAAAGCGAUUCGAACUUAUGGUACAGUAAACGGAUAUAAUGUGAAGUGUAAGACAGAUGACAAAAGAAGAGUUCAAGGCAUCUAUAAGAGUGCUGAUGGAGAAUGGGCUUUUAGGAUAAAUAAUUUAGAAACCGCUCAAGUGAAGUCAUAUACGCCUCAACACACAUGUUGUAGAGAUCAGUACAAUCGUCAUUGUAACUUAAUUUUCAUAGUCCAUCAACAUAUGGAGCAAUUUAAGGCAAAUUCGGAGUGGAAAACCCAAAAGUAUGCAAGCAACUGUGAAAGAGAACUUGAAUAUUAAUAUUACUAAAAACGUCGCUUGGUAGGUGAGAAGAUAUGCGAAGCAAUUGUGUAACAAGACUAUCAAAGAACAGUUUGUGGCAUUGAGGUCGUAUGCGGUAGAGGUCUCGAGGAUCAAUCUAGGAUCCAUAGUGAUGAUAACAUUUAGUGGGCAUGUGUUUCAAUGUAUAUAUAUCUGUUUUAGUGCUUACAAAUUAGGAUUUCCACAUGGAUAUAGAAAAAUCAUUGGAGCGAACGAGCCAUAUUCGGGUGUUUGGGGUGGUAUUUUGCUCAUCGCAAUUGGCCUAGAUACAAUGAGUGUAUCUAUCUAGUUGUUGUUGUUGGGAGUCUACUUAACAUGCGCAACGAAAAAUUAAAACGAUUUUCGAUUCCCACCACAGAUCUCUUUGUGUUUAGAUAGAAAUUGUAAUAAAAGUGAUAUAUUUUCUAGAUCUACAAACCCCUUUGUUUUUUCUUUGUUCCAGCAACCUUGAUCUGCCUCCCACAGCUGUCCAAUUGUCCAACCUCCAACGGUGAUCUAAACAAAGAACAAUAUUGUAAGAGUAGAGUUUUUUUCUUGUGUUAGCAAGAAUAAUGAAUUCUCCACAAAUCACAAACCCUAGCCGCUUAUUUAUAUAAACCCAAACGAGCUUGGCCUGACUCGGUCAAACAUUUAAUUAAGCUAUUUAACUAAAUUCGAUCCGUGAAUUAAUUAAUCCAAUUAAUUAAUUCGAGCCUAUAAAUAAGAAGCUCAAUUAAUUAAUUUAUCAACGCUUGUUAAAUUAAUUAAUUGACAAAUCACAAUUUUUCAGUUUUCCUUUUGCAUGCGACCCAUUAGGUUCCCGAUGACGAUGCCUAACGACUUGAAAUAUUAUUUUGAUCUAAUCAAAAUUGAUAAGUUAAAGAACUCUUUUAAUUUAUCACCAAUUCACACUCGUCAUCCCAGAUUGACAUCUAGCAAUGUGUCAGGGCAAUACAUGUGACGAAAAAUGUCACUUGGUAUGACAAAACCAAACUUGUUCGUUUAUCGUGAAAUUAUAAUCUCUUCGUCAAUAUGAUCCUAUCAAUUACGAGAUAUGGAAAUGUGUCAAUCCCUAUUAUCGAUCAUAUCUUUCACUCCACUAUUAAGUCAAUAUAAGUCGAAAAAUCCUUUUCGACUUAUGAGUACACCUUGGUCAAGGAUUUCGCUAUUGACUCAAUUGGAUGAAAUGCAAAUCAUAAUCUCUUACUAUCUAAGAGUAACGAAUCCUCUAUUGGUCAUUCACAACCUUCAUAUGAUUCUCGACAUACCCGAACGAUGCCAUAUUAGCGGCCCUUUGCAGAGCAACAUCCAACGCCGUUAAAGUAUGAAUGUCCACAUAUAAGGCAUUAUAAUGAUCUCAAGUCAAAUGACCAAUUUCACUACUGAACGUUAGAGAUUAACCACUGACACUCAGAUAGUUAUCAGUGUGGAAUCUCUCGACGAGUCUCUAAUGUUUUGUUCUAUAACAAAAUAUCCACGUAUUCAUUCAAGUUUCACCACACUUCAGCUUGUGAGAUCAGUUACUUACAAGUAAGAAAUGUCGCACGUGAUUGUCUAUUCGUAAUGACGAUAUCCGUAUUUCGUUAUUAUUUACAACUACGGACGAUUUAAGAUUCAAUCAUGAUAAGUGUAGUUUCUACACUUAUUUGGGAUCUUAAAUAAUGAUAUUUUGUUAUUCUUUGAACGGAUUAGUACCUGAUUUGCUAUUUAUUGCUUUUAUUAGGAAAAGUUCAUGUUUCAAAGAAGAAUUGGAAAAAAGAACGGAAAAUGGCUAAAUAAAGCAAAUCCAAAGUAUGGGGACCAAAGUGUAAAUAUUUAAUGGUUGAUUUGGACCACAAAAGAUACUUUGAAGAUUGAUAGGAGUCAAUUGAAUGCAAAGGGAUAUGAUUAGAAUAUUACCAUAAAUCGACCUUCAAUCAUAUAGGAUAUUUUCAAGAUUUUUGGUCAACUUGAGACCCAUUUUUCGAAUGGAGAACGUUUGAAUUGGAAAAAAUUGUAGAUCUUUUAAUUAUCUUUCUAAUGCACUUUGAAUCACCUUAAUCGGACACCGAAAGAGAAAGUUAUGAUCAAAAUAUUAAAGGCUGUGUAGAGACAAAAUUAUGUGCGCGCGAAUACAACUUUCCUUAUUUGAUUCAAACUCUUUUGAAAAAUAAUUUGGACGUAAGUUUUGACCUAAUUUCAUCAGAAAAAUACAAGAUAUGGGAAGCAAUGAAAGGGUCUCUCUCUUGCCUCUUCAUACACAAUAGUUUCAUCAAAUUAAUCAAGAACAAGGGGCCAAUUGCUAUAUUUUGGGAGAGAAGAUCAGCCAUAGCAAGGAAUUGAAGUUCAAUUACAUCAAGUUUUGAAGAAUUCAACUUUGGACGUGAAGAUCAAGACUUUUGUAUUCUUUCAUGAUCCGGGUGAUAUUUUUCUAUUAUUCUUCUUGAAAUUUAUAUAUUAAUAUGCUAGACUAGUUUUUCAUUGUAUUGGAUGAGAUGAACCCUAUUAUUUAUUUAUUUUAAUUCAAGACAAGUAUUUAGUUUAAUUUGUAUGUUACUUGAUUAAUUUUGCAUUCCCAUUGCACUAUUGAAUUGUUUGGUCAUCAAUUGAAUAGUUAGUUGCUUGUUGUAGUGUAGGAAUACUCACAAUGAGUCUAGAACGUGGCAAAAUUAACACGUAUAGUUAGGAUUAGGAAUAAUAUAUAUCAUACAUGCAAUCAUAUUGAUAAUUUAAACUAAAUACAUGAUUUUCAUAUGAAUUCGGAUUAGGAAUAGGAUCGGGUCGUGUUAAUCAUAGGUUGGUAUAUCUUGAAAAAGAACAUUUAACAUAUUAGUGUUAUCGAUUGUUAAGAACUCGAGAAAGAAAUUAGAUUACGAAUCAAAAAUUGAAAUUAAUAGCAAUAGGCGGAGUCAAAAUCCAAUACAAUCCUCCAUAAUUUGAUAAAACCCCAAUUUUUAUUGCCUUCUUAGAUUAAUUUAGUUUAAAUCAAAUCAAAAUAUUUAUUUUAUUUUCAUAACUAGAAUUCCAUACGAAACUAGUAAACUUGAAUUAAAUUUAUUUUUCGUGGGACGAUAACUCUUAACUCACUUAUUAUUACUUGUCAACGAUCCCGUACGCUUGUGGGUAUAAUACGAACAAAUCAUAUGUAAUUUGUAUCUCACAAUUACAACUCCUUGUGAUUAACAAAUUACGAAAAUUUGAAUUUACGGACUCUAUUAUGUAAUUUAAUUGCCUAUUAAUUAAAUAAUAGAUCUGUCAUUACAUUAUAUUAAUUAUAUAUUAAAAGUAUUUACGUCCAAUGUUGAUUGGAUUUAGGGCAUAACACUUACAGUUGUCCAAAAAGAGAAUACAGUUGCGUGCAGACAAUUUUUGAAAUAUCUGGCUAAGGAUAUUUAGAUGAAAAAUAGGACUGAUUGGACUGUGAUGACAGAUAGGCAAAAGGGACUAAGUAAUGUUAUUGGUAAGUUACAUCUGAAGACGGAGAAUGGGUUAUGUAUCAGACACAUGUACACAAGCUUUUUCAAUAAGGGAUAUAAGGGCAAGACAUUGAAGAACUUGCUUUGGCAAGCUGCUAAGUCAACUACAUUAGCUGACUGCAGACAUGGAUGCAACAAAUUCGUCAAGUUAGUGAAGAAACUUAUAAAUGACUGAUGGAGAGGCCUCCGACCGAGUGGAGUAAAUCUCAUUUCAGGACACGUUUAGAAAGUGAUAUUUUAUUGAAAAACUUGUGCGAAGUUUCUAAUAAGAUGCUGAUAGAUGAUAAGAAGAAGAUGAUUGUAACGAUGCUAACAGAUAUGGAGUUGGAGUUUAUGACCAUGAUUGAGAAUCGUCAAAGUAAGGUAAGGAUGUACGGAGGGCAAUUGUUUUCAAGAAUAAAAAAGCUUGCUAAGAUAGAUGAGAUGUCCAACGAAUGCAUAUUUCAUUUUUUAGGAAGGCCUAAAUGGCAGGUAGAUUGUAGGUUAGGGACAUAUGUCAUUGACUUGGAAGAGCAGAGUUGCGUAUGUAGGAGGUGGGACUUGAUGGAAUACCAUGUAGUCUUGCCGUAGUCAUCAUACGGAAGUGUAGAAAAAAACCUGAGUAUAUGGUCAACUGCUACACAGUGGAUAUGUCUCUGAGAUGCACUGAUAAUAUUAUGAAUCCAAUUAAUGGGAUACGAUUGUGACCCUAGCUAGACACUCUACCCAGUGGCGAAUCUAGGGACGGAGGUCAGCUAGGGCGGACAUUGACCGACAAUGACCGUUGACCAUUGACCAUUAACAAUCAAUAAUUGUAAUAGCAAUGUCACUUAUUAAUAUUUAAUUAAAAUCUGGAUAGAAAAGAAAAUGUCAAGAAAAAUGCAUCAGGCAACCAGAUGAGCAGCUAGCAAAUACGAAUGUUGUGCAAAGGCAUAGCACAAGAAACCGGCAGCCAACCACAAGAGCACUAGAAGCCUUUGCAAAUGGAUACAUCGCCGUGAACUCGAGACAGAAAAGAAAGAGUCAUCAAGCAACCAGAGGUGCAGCAAUAGAGUAUGAAUCUGAUAUCUUUGUAUUUGCCUUUUGCGAUCAAGUUAAUAGAAAUUAUGCUACUUUGUAUUCUUUAAUUAACAAAUCAGCAUCAAUAUUGUAAGUUCUUCAAGCAUUAUUUGUAAGACACCGUUCAAAAGUUAUGGUUAAAAAGUCACUGUUCAUUUUAUCGUUCAUCAUCAAUAUUUACUAAUUUUUUGGGUAUAAAAUCCUUAAUCCUGAACAUCUUCAACACUUUGGGACGGCAUCUUCUUUUACUUCAAUAUCAUCCAAAGUCUCCAAGAAUUUCUUAUAAUUUUGCCCCAGGAAUUUUGUUGUAUAAUGUUGUUGAAUUCCCCCUCUAUGAAAUUAUAAUAUGUGGUUUGGAAUCCUCUAUGUUUGACCUAAUUCAAAACCAGUUAACGAUUUCACCAUCAUCUUUGAUUAAGAAAUCAAAUUUCAGUGAAGUACACAAUCUUAACCUUAUGUUAAUAACAAAAAAAUUCCGAUCUUGUAUAUCUGUGAAGUACACAAUAUUAGCCAUUGUCAGUAUUUUGAGCAGGACUUCAAGAACUUGCAGUUGUGGCUACUAUUAGGAGGCUGCAGUCGGAUUCAAGAGAGAUUCAGUCUUCUGUGAGAGAGAUGAUGAAUUUGGAUGGUGAUGGAGUAUGGAAUGAGAUGAGGAUGGAAAAUCAGGGUUUAGUUGAGAGAUUUUAGGGAUUAAUAUAAGUUAAUUGGGGGUGAUUGGAUGUAAGAUUUAUGAAUUUUUUAUUGUUUUGAUAGAUAAAUUGUGAGCGUUGGAUCGAUUUAAUUAAAGGCCCCGGAUUAUUUGUCAAAAACGUUUGUCAAAUUCACGUGUCUAAGGAACGGCCCCAAAACAUAAAUUACUUAUCAUAAAUCACAAUCAUAACAAAUAGAACAUACAAGAUUGAUAACAUUAUCCACGUACAUACAACAUUCUCUUGGAAAAGGGGAAAAAAAGGGGGAACAAUGAUGCAACAAAACGCACUCUGAAAUUUAAUAGACCAAAUGCAUAUUAAAACAGAUAUGCGAAAAUUCUGCAAAAUAAAUAAAUAAAUAAAUAAAUAAUAACAACAACAACAACAACAACCUAGUAGAGCCCAUAAUUUAGGAAAGCAGGAAGAACAAAUGAAAAACAGAAAAAUCUUUAAGAGUCAGCGUUGAAAAAAAAAAUCUGAAGGAACCUGAGCGAGGAGUGAGGACUCUAGUCCAGAGUCCUUUAAACUUUCUCCAUGAAUUGGUUCCCAACUUCUCUUUGAAAUGCAUCAUUAAGAAGGCUCCCCAGUAAUCAACACUCGACAGUCAUCUUCAAACCCCUGAAACGAAAUUUACUCUGCUAUAUCAUUGACAAAACAUAGGACAAAAACCAAAAACAAAAAUUUAAUGAAAAAAAAAAAACAGAGAGGGAGAGAGAGAAAGAAAAGGGGAUCACAGAUUCACACUCUGAGACUCUAAGACCGGAGAUUGGAAGGUCGACGGCGAGUCGUCUCGUCGCCCAACACCUCUCGCCGCCCGUCAGGUGUCAACACUCAGCAGCAGCAACUCCACUUUGAUCAAAAUAUAUGGAUUGGAUUUGGACCUAAUGUUUAUAAAUAAGGAGGCCCAUCAAUCACUAGUCAGCCCAAAUAAAAGGGCCCAAACUGGAGGGAAAAAAAAAAAACGUAACCCAGAUGGAAUUCAUUCAUCUUCCUCGGCUUCUUUCUCUGCAACUGCGACUUCUGGUUCUGGUGCCCGGCGGUAGUGAACAUUCCGGAGGAUCCAGCUAGGGCAGCCGCCCUAGCUCGCCAGUACCUGGAUCCGCCCCUGACUCUACCCAUCAUGCCAUCUUCAUGGACUCCUCAGCAAUGGGAAAGAAAGCAAAAGAGAAGAAGGAGACAAGCGGACAAAGAUAUUAUCUCACUAAGGGAAAUCGCAUGUUAAGAGAAAAUGAAAAGUAUCGAUGACAUGCUCAAUAUGUGAAUUACAUGGUCACAAUAAAAGGUAUCACUCAAGACCUAAUGCACCUUUUGAUGUAAGUACUUAAUCAAAGGUUUAUUGCUUAUUUCAAGUCAAAUAACAAUUGAUUAAUUUUUUUUCCUCCUUCUCCAGGACUGGUACGAAGGACAAUUGUAGCCAGUUGAUUGGAAAUGGCACGCGUCAGGAGAUUUAAGGAGACACGUAAGUGCUUAAAUAUUCUUUAGGCAUGUGUGUGAUUUACCGAGUUUAUAAGUUUUUUGCUAACGUAUAUUCAUUUUUAUGGACAGAAAAAACUUCUUCCCGACCAAGGCAAUGGAGCUAGUUCGAGCCAAAUACAUGAGGAAGUUUAUAGCUUUCAAUUCACGCCCACUCUCGACGUCGAGCAGCAAUCUGAAACUGUUGUUGCGAGUGAUGGGCCAGCUGCUCAUGUCCCUACUGUUGAUUAUACGAAUGUGGAGCAUCGUUAGACACACAAGUAUGGACUGAGCAAAUCCAACUUCUAGAAAUGGAUGAUGACUUCACACAACAACAAUAGCAAAUGCUACGGGACGUGGCUGGACAUCCAAUUUUUAUAGGCAGCAUGAAUCUCUUUGUGUAGUGUUUGAUGUAUUUUUGUGCUGGUUGCUGCUUGUUUAGGUAAUGAACUUAGGAAACUGGUGUGGAUGUUGUUUGUACUGCUGGUUUUUAUUUAUUAUUUAUUUUUUUUGCGAAGACAAGAGCAGAUGUGUUUUAUUGAAGACAAUGACUUGAUUAUUGCUGCUUUUUUGAUUUAUUAUAUUUUUUAUAGUUUCAACAAGGA